AUUGAACGCUGGCGGUAGGCCUAACACAUGCAAGUCGAACGGCAGCACAGAGGAGCUUGCUCCUUGGGUGGCGAGUGGCGGACGGGUGAGGAAUACAUCGGAAUCUACUCUGUCGUGGGGGAUAACGUAGGGAAACUUACGCUAAUACCGCAUACGACCUACGGGUGAAAGCAGGGGACCUUCGGGCCUUGCGCGAUUGAAUGAGCCGAUGUCGGGAUUAGCUAGUUGGCGGGGUAAAGGCCCACCAAGGCGACGAUCCGUAGCUGGUCUGGGAGGAUGAGCAGCCACACUGGAACUGAGACACGGUCCAGACUCCUACGGGAGGCAGCAGUGGGAAAUAUUGGACAAUGGGCGCAAGCCUGAUCCAGCCAUACCGCGUGGGUGAAGAAGGCCUUCGGGUUGUAAAGCCCUUUUGUUGGGAAAGAAAUCCAGCUGGCUAAUACCCGGUUGGGAUGACGGUACCCAAAGAAUAAGCACCGGCUAACUUCGUGCCAGCCGCCGCCGUAA
rnacentral:rRNA from 1 species